rnacentral:rRNA from 1 species
GGACCCGCACAAGUAGUGGAGCAUGUGGUUUAAUUCGAAGAUACGCGCAGAACCUUACCAACACUUGACAUGUUCGUCGCGACUCUAAGAGAUUAGAGUUUUCGGUUCGGCCGGACGAAACACAGGUGCUGCAUGGCUGUCGUCAGCUCGUGUCGUGAGAUGUUGGGUUAAGUCCCGCAACGAGCGCAACCCUCACUUUUAGUUGCCAUCAUUAAGUUGGGCACUCUGAAAGAACUGCCAGUGAUAAGCUGGAGGAAGGUGGGGAUGACGUCAAGUCCUCAUGGCCCUUACGUGUUGGGCUACACACGUGCUACAAUGGUAUCUACAACAGGAAGCAAGACUGCGAAGUUAAGCAAAUCCCUAAAAGAUACCUCAGUUCGGAUUGCACUCUGCAACUCGAGUGCAUGAAGCUGGAAUUACUAGUAAUCGCAGG